GUCUACAGACGAACCACCCUGAACGCGCCCGAUCUCAUCUUAUCUCGGAAGCUAAGCAGGGUUGGGGCUGGUUAGUACUUGGAUGGGAGAAUAAGAUUCUCUUAGAAU
rnacentral:rRNA from 1 species